UACGAAGGGGGCUAGCGUUGCUCGGAAUUACUGGGCGUAAAGGGAGCGUAGGCGGAUAGUUCAGUCAGAGGUGAAAGCCCGAGGCUCAACCUCGGAACUGCCUUCGAUACUGCGGGUCUCGAGUCCGGGAGAGGUGAGUGGAAUUCCUAGUGUAGAGGUGAAGUUCGUAGAUAUUAGGAAGAACACCAGUGGCGAAGGCGGCUCACUGGCCCGGUACUGAUGCUGAGGCGCGAAAGCGUGGGGAGCGAACAGG
rnacentral:rRNA from 1 species